GUGUUGGUGGUUCAGUGGUAGAAUUCUCAUCUUCCAUAUGGGAGACCCAAGUUCUAUCCAGGCCAAUACA
rnacentral:tRNA from 1 species